CGGUUUGUGCGACGCAGCUAACGCAUUAAGCGCCCCGCCUGGGGAGUACGAUCGCAAGAUUAAAACUCAAAGGAAUUGACGGGGCUCCGCACAAGCAGCGGAGCAUGCGGCUUAAUUCGACGCAACGCGAAGAACCUUACCAAGGCUUGACAUAUACAGGAAUAUGGCAGAGAUGUCAUAGCCGCAAGGUCUGUAUACCGGUGGUGCAUGGUUGUCGUCAGCUCGUGUCGUGAGAUGUUGGGUUAAGUCCCGCAACGAGCGCAACCCUCGUUCUGUGUUGCCAGCAUUUAGUUGGGGACUCACAGGAGACUGCCGGGGUUAACUCGGAGGAAGGUGGGGAUGACGUCAAAUCAUCAUGCCCCUUAUGUCUUGGGCUGCACGCAUGCUACAAUGGCUGGUACAAACGGCUGCAAUACCGCAAGGUGGAGCGAAUCCGAGAAAGCCAGUCUCAGUUCGGAUUGGGGUCUGCAACUCGACCCCAUGAAGUCGGAGUUGCUAGUAAUCGUAGAUCAGCAACGCUACGGUGAAUACGUUCCCGGGGCUUGUACACACCGCCCGUCACAUCACGAAGUCGGUAACACCCAUAAGUCAGUGGCCCAACCGCAAGGAGGGAGCUGCCAAAG
rnacentral:rRNA from 1 species